GGUCCUGGAUAUUCUGAUGCGGAUGUGACUACCGUCUAGAAGAAUUGUACCCGUGCUUCGAAGGUUCGCCGAUGGCGGGCGGAAUUUUCCAACGAGUCGGCAGCGCUUAUAAAAGCGCUGGAAUUGGUGUCAACGUUCACGGUUUCUGGCAGAACGGUGCGAAACUUUGAAGAACGUUGACUGCAAUGCCAGCGUUCUGAUCAGCGCUGCGGCCUCGUUGGCGGAUUCCGCUCGCCAAGCGUCGGACGGCGAACCUUCGAGAGGGCACGGGUACAGUUAUUCGAGACGGUCGUCACAUCCUCAUCAGAAGAGGCGCGGAGC